rnacentral:rRNA from 1 species
AGAGUUUGAUCCUGGCUCAGGACGAACGCUGGCGGCGUGCCUAACACAUGCAAGUCGAGCGGGGUCCAUCCAGUGGCAACACUGGGGAAGACCUAGCGGCGAACGGGUGAGUAACACGUGAGGAACCUGCCCCGAAGACCGGGAUAACCCGAGGAAACUCGAGCUAAUACCGGAUACCCCCACGAGAUCGCAUGGUCUUGUGAGGAAAUGUCUUUUCGCUUCGGGAGGGCCUCGCGGCCUAUCAGCUAGUUGGCGGGGUAACGGCCCACCAAGGCAUCGACGGGUAGCUGGUCUGAGAGGACGAUCAGCCACACUGGGACUGAGACACGGCCCAGACUCCUACGGGAGGCAGCAGUGGGGAAUCUUGCGCAAUGGGCGAAAGCCUGACGCAGCAACGCCGCGUGGGGGACGAAGGCUCUCGGGUUGUAAACCCCUUUCAGGAGGGACGAAAUUGACGGUACCUCCAGAAGAAGCCCCGGCCAACUACGUGCCAGCAGCCGCGGUAACACGUAGGGGGCGAGCGUUGUCCGGAUUUAUUGGGCGUAAAGAGCUCGUAGGUGGCUCGGUAAGUCGGGUGUGAAAUUUCGAGGCUCAACCUCGAGACGCCACCUGAUACUGCUGUGGCUAGAGUCCGGUAGGGGAGCGUGGAAUUCCUGGUGUAGCGGUGAAAUGCGCAGAUAUCAGGAGGAACACCAGCGGCGAAGGCGGCGCUCUGGGCCGGUACUGACACUGAGGAGCGAAAGCGUGGGGAUCAAACAGGAUUAGAUACCCUGGUAGUCCACGCCGUAAACGUUGGGCACUAGGUGUGGGGUUCUAUCAACGGACUCCGUGCCGAAGCUAACGCAUUAAGUGCCCCGCCUGGGGAGUACGGCCGCAAGGCUAAAACUC